CUACGGGGUGCUCCAGUGAGGAAUAUUGCACAAUGGGGGGAACCCUGAUGCAGCAACGCCGCGUGGAGGAUGACGCAUUUCGGUGUGUAAACUCCUUUUAUAUGUCAAGAAAAUGACGGUAGCAUAUGAAUAAGCACCGGCUAACUCCGUGCCAGCAGCCGCGGUAAUACGGAGGGUGCAAGCGUUACUCGGAAUCACUGGGCGUAAAGGACGCGUAGGCGGGUUGGAAAGUCAGGUGUGAAAUCCUACAGCUUAACUGUAGAACUGCACUUGAAACUUCUAAUCUAGAGUGUGGGAGGGGGAGAUGGAAUUAGUGGUGUAGGGGUAAAAUCCGUAGGUAUCACUAGGAAUACCGAAAGCGAAGGCGAUCUCCUGGAACAUUACUGACGCUAAGGCGUGAAAGCGUGGGGAGCAAACAGGAUUAGAUACCCCCGUAGUC
rnacentral:rRNA from 1 species